CGCAUCCAGCUAUUUCUAACUGUACACAACACAGUUGCUUGAUAUUGCAAAUUGUUGUAUUUUUAAUAUGGUUACCAUGUUAUUUUAACGUAUUAUCUUAACACAUCGGUUUGUAGUGCAAACAGUUUUACAGCACAUUGUUAUUCCGGAAGUCUCACCCAUAGGUUUACUUCCGUGCUGAAAAAAAAGGUGAAGCGUGAAGGCUUGUCUCAACGAGUAAAAGUAGAUAUUAGGAAUUCUUUUAACUUUAAGUUAGCUUACCUGUCGAGAAUAAACUCCUUAAUUUCGUUGUGUCGAUUAAAACCCAUUCCAUCAAACGCAUCCCUCUUGUAAAAACACUGCGGCCUGAAAUCUUUUAAGGCUGAGCCUUCAGACAUAUAUUUAUGCUGUUAUAUUUAGACCACUUAUUGAUUGCUAUCAGGAUGUGAAGGGGAGAAUUACUGAGUGCUUCCCCACCGUUUGUGACUAUUGCUGCUUUUCCUCUGUCAUCCGCUAGAGGGUGCAGUACACACUCUACCCGCUAAAGACAGAGCUACACACUUCCUGUGCUCGCUAGAGUUGUUGAUAUACAGCGAGCACAUGCUAAACACAAUCUUUGACAUUUUGUCUCAUAACAAAACGACAACCGCUGUGAUUCAGUAGCUUGACGUUUUGCAGUUGCUAUGUGUCUGCUAUUGCACGCUGAAGAAUGAAAGACUUCACUACUCGGGGCAUUGAUGGAUUUAAUAAGAGAGUUUCCCACAGCCAUGAUAUAUGUGAUUUUGUCUCUCUCAUCGCUGCUUUCUGCUUAUCGGCUGUUUAAGGACCAUAGAGCUUCAUCAGUGGGCUUCCUCCUGAUUGGCUGCUCUUCUGUCCUUUCAGUCUUUUCUCCCAGUAACCAAACUAUCGAAUCAUUUCAGAAUGAUCUAGAACGGGCAGGUGAAUCACUUGGUCCUGCGCUUGUUACUUUUGACUUUUUGUGGCUAAGUGAGGACCACGUCACUGCUCGUAUCCUUCUGAUUGGCUCUACUUUUUUCGUAAUGCUCUCUGAUUGGUUAUCGUCGGAUGGGUUGGUCAUUAUGUCACGCUGCUUGGCCUUUUCCACCCUCUCCUGUUCGCUGACAGUGUGUGCGUUUGCUGAAAAUGCAGCAGGGGCAGUAGGGAGUGUAGCGCUUAAUCUGCCUUUAUUAGUUUCCCCAAGGAGCAGUUCUGGCUUUUUGCAUUCCCUCGUGUUGCCUACAGACGGACUUCUCAGCUGGAUCCUUAAAGUCAUCAUGGCAUUAGGAUGCUGGACCACUGGGAAGGCCCUCAAUAAAUACCUGUUUGAUUUAAAAGGCUGGGACUGACUUAAGCAAUGGUUUCGAAUGUCAAAAGUGGACCAUAAUAUGCUACUUUCGUAUUUCAAGGUUAUUACCAGGCUUAUGCACAGUGCAUUAUUAUUGUACUACAUAAACUGUUUUUUAUGUCUGUAAUCAAAUCAUAGAGUUUUCUUAGAACAUAUUAAAUCCAUUACACUAACUUUGAGAGCGAGUAAAAUCCAUGAGCAAUGAAUACACUGUUUUAGCAUCUUUAACAAUGUAGUCCUUUAUACAGAAAGAAUAGGACUCUGUUUAAACCAGUGUUGCCAUGUCCACUCAUUAUGAGCAACUUUGGUAAAUGUGCAUGAUAAAUUUACUCAUUAGUUUACUCAUUUAGAUGUCCAUUUACAUAUGUGGAACAUUUUAGUUUUGAAAAUUAAUGUUUUCUGAAUGUCAAAAAAGAAAGUUCUGUCAUCAUUUGCUCACCCAAACCUGCAUGAAUUUACAUUUUCAUUACAUUUAUUCAUUUAGCAGAUGCUUUUAUUCAAGUAACUUGCAAAUGAGGAGUAGAACAAGCAAUUCAUCAUAAAUUAUUUCUUCUAUUAUUCUAUUUAUAUUCUGUUUAGUCGCUGCAGAUGCAUGUAGUUUGUUUUUCUUGCGAGAUCUCAGAUCUGACAACACUGGUUUAAAAAUACAUAGUAUUAUAUGUUUGUGCAGAGGACAGGUUGAUUCAAACAAUGAAGCACAGACAAAACAUCAGUAUAUGCAGUUAUAAUUUAUUUUUAUUUAUAUAUAUAUUUUUCAACCUGAAUUAGCAGGUUUAGUCAAUAAGCUACUAAAUUGUUUAAUCCAAAUUUAGUAUUUUGCUUAUAUUGGAUUGUAUGAGACAUGUUGAAGAACUCUAAAUAUUUAAUAAAAUAUUUAAAACCAAAACCAAAUACAGACAUAUUAUUUCUUGCUCACUGGAUGUGAUGUUAUUUUAAAUGUGAUGCUGAUGCAUCUUGUUAAUGAGGUGUUCUGCAAUCACGAAGGACAGAGUUUGUAGAUCAACUCUAAUGUAAAACUCUUUCAGGAAGUCUCCAUUGAGAUAUGAUUUUACAUUAGCCAUAAGACUUUUAUUUCUUCAAUAUUAUGACACUUGUAAUAGGGAAGGGAAACACGAUGAGGAUGGUCCAUUAUAGUCAGCAUUUAAUAGCAUGGAGGCCUGAGCAUAAGGCAAUUUAUUCAUGAUGAUGAAUGCUUAUUCCUGGCACUUUGCAA